rnacentral:rRNA from 1 species
GAUGAACGCCGGCGGCGUGCUUAACACAUGCAAGUCGAACGGACUCAUAUUGAAACCUAGUGAAGUAUGAGUUAGUGGCGGACGGGUGAGUAACGCGUGGAAAACCUGCCGUAUACUGGGGGAUAACACUUAGAAAUAGGUGCUAAUACCGCAUAAGCGCACAGCUUCGCAUGAAGCGGUGUGAAAAACUCUGGUGGUAUACGAUGGUUCCGCGUCUGAUUAGCUAGUUGGUGGGGUAAUGGCCUACCAAGGCAACGAUCAGUAGCCGGCCUGAGAGGGUGAACGGCCACAUUGGGACUGAGACACGGCCCAAACUCCUACGGGAGGCAGCAGUGGGGAAUAUUGCACAAUGGGGGAAACCCUGAUGCAGCGACGCCGCGUGAGUGAAGAAGUAUUUCGGUAUGUAAAGCUCUAUCAGCAGGGAAGAAAAUGACGGUACCUGAUUAAGAAGCCCCGGCUAACUACGUGCCAGCAGCCGCGGUAAUACGUAGGGGGCAAGCGUUAUCCGGAUUUACUGGGUGUAAAGGGAGCGUAGACGGCAGCACAAGUCUGGAGUGAAAUGCCGGGGCUUAACCCCGGAACUGCUUUGGAAACUGUGCAGCUAGAGUGCAGGAGAGGUAAGUGGAAUUCCUAGUGUAGCGGUGAAAUGCGUAGAUAUUAGGAGGAACACCAGUGGCGAAGGCGGCUUACUGGACUGUAACUGACGUUGAGGCUCGAAAGCGUGGGGAGCAAACAGGAUUAGAUACCCUGGUAGUCCACGCUGUAAACGAUGAUUACUAGGUGUUGGGGGACCAAGGUCCUUCGGUGCCGUCGCAAACGCAUUAAGUAAUCCACCUGGGGAGUACGUUCGCAAGAAUGAAACUCAAAGGAAUUGACGGGGGCCCGCACAAGCGGUGGAUUAUGUGGUUUAAUU